CUCUUAGAGAGGCACACCUGUCUGCUAUAUAAUAAAACAUACUCCUUUUGAAUUCUAGCUUAAAUUUCACUCAAGUUUUGGUCUAGAAAAUCCAGUUUAGCAGGAUUAGUCAUCAAUAACCUCCCCCAAGAUGAAAUUUUAAGUUAUCCAUUGAAUGUUAAAGUUGAAGGUACUAAAGGUCUGAUUUGGGCCACACGAUUUAGGUGAAAACAAAUCAGAGAAAGGUUAGCAAUAAAUGAGGAGAGAAAGAGGCUUACAGGAAAGUGGAAGGGGAUUUUAGAGUCUGGAGAUGAAAAAACUAUGGGGAAGGUUUUAUGUUAACUGUGAAAGCUGUUUAAAAGCACAUCACCAAUUAUUUUUGUUGACAUGAACAACUGAAAGAAUAUCCUAGUGUUAAAACCAGAAAAAAAUUAGGUGAGCAACAGCAUCAGUAGGUCUUGACUUAUGAAGGAGAACAACACAAAGGUUUCAAUGGGAGAUGAAGGGAGAAUGGAGAAAUACAACAACAGAGGACUUGCUACAGAAGAAGAGCGCUCACCAGUGGAAAGAGCACAAGAGUUGCCUUGCUUCACAGUUUAAGAGAAGGAAGAGCUCCAGUGUUGAGAAGUUAAGCUGCCUGAGGACGUGAUGGGAAGGGGAAGCACCAGGCAAGAGAAGAGCAGCUCUCCUUGGAAGAUCAUGUAACUACAAUCAACACAACCUCUGCAGUUAUCUUCCCACCACUCACCACUUUAGGAUAUCUUUUUGUUGCCAUAGUUUAAGGCUGCUUUUAAUACUCUUUUUAUGGGGCAGGAUAACCCCCAAAAUAUCCCAGUACAAAAAUUUGUCAACAAGGUGGUCUAAUAAGGCACACAGUCAAAAAAAUAGAAACUUGUGUGUGCCUUACUUUGGGCUAAUUGUACUCAUCUCACACGCUAGUAAAGUAAUGCUCAAAAUUCUCCAAGCCACGCUUCAGCAAUAUGUGAACUGUGAACUUCCUGAUGU
ensembl:lncRNA